GCGUUUGACUAAAAGUAAAGUUGUGCAGAAGUUUGUGUUUAUUUUUCUAAAUUUGUCCUGUUGAAUGUAGGUCAGAAUAAAAUAUGUUUGUGAAAAUGAUAAAUAAUUUUUUUUAUAACUGACCUGCAUUUUCAUAUUACUAGUUGUGCCACAGGUAAAGAUGCUUAGCCAUUAUUGAUCUAUGUAAACAGAAGGUGUAGAGUCUCAACCAACUUGUUGACAUUUUUGUUUAAAAAUGUGUUUUCCAGCUACCGGAAGAAGCAGGCUCCUGAAACUGCAAUUCAGGGAGGUUAUGUGAAGGCAACCUCGACACCCAGUAAGAGAACAGCAGCUAAAAUGUUGCAUCGAUUAUCUCCAACUGAACCUGUGUCUGAGGGGGAAGAUUUUCUAAUGGCUGGUGUUGAGGCCUUAGCUGAUGACCAAGAUUUGGAUCCUUUUGAAGAAAGUUUCAAAUCCAUGGAUCUAGCUACGGAUGCAGUCCAAAUUGAUGAGGGCCAAGCAAACAACUUACUCAACAGUGUGUGAGUUGCAGUGUCUUCUUAUCUAGGGGUGGGCAAUAUAAACGAUAUAAGGUAGAAAUGACAUAAAAUUGGGUAGUGAUAGUUUUUGGCUAUAUCGCAAUACGGCGAUAUUGUGAUAACACAUGACGUCACUAAGCUGUGCACCCUGCUGACAAUGGAACAACAGUAUGGCGGUGACUGCAAGCAUGGGCUGUGUCUCAAUUCAGGGUCUGCAUCCUUCGAAGGACCCAGCCCACCCGGCCGACGUGGGCUGCGUCCUCCGUCGGCCGGGUAGACCGGAUGUUAACGGCUGUGAAUUUGGACAGGCCUAGCCUUCAUGAACUCCCUCGGCGAACGUUCCGUCGCCUAGCAACCGUGGAACCGCUGGGCAGAAGGAACCUUAAACGAUGGAGCUCGACGUUUUAUUUAGCUUUUUAACCCCCAGAAACCCAAAUUUAGAAAACAACUGCAAAAUCUUUUUUUAACCUUUCACAUGUUGUUCUAGGAGGCCAGAUAAACGGGCCUAUUUACACAUUUUAACAGUCAAUAGUGUUGCAGAACUGAACAAUAGGACCUAUUAGCAAUGUAAAUGUGGUUUUAAAAAGAAAACAAAAUGGGGAAGGUUUAUUCUUGUAGACUUAAAUCUGAUGUUGUAAAGUUACAACCGUGGGUCUCUGGGGGUUAAUCAUUUCCUUGACUGUUGGAGAGCUAAUUCAGAGAAAAUACUUUCGACAAGCUGAGCCUGAGCAAAGAUGUGAUAAUAGUUUUUAAUACUUUCUAAGGGUCUUAAUUUGACCAAAACCGAUUUAUCACCUUUUAAGACUUUUCAAGACCCAGCGGAUACCCUGUAAUAUUAAACAAUUCACAUUUGUAAACAAAAAUAAAAUUCAAGAGUUUAAUGCAGAACUGAUUUUAUUUAGAUAUUUCUUUUAUAUGUACAUGUUUAAUCUUUAUUAACCAUUUUUUUCUAGCAAAGUAAAAAGCUGUCAAAGUUCUCCCUUCUCUCCUGUUUCCUCUGCAGCCUCAUGUCCUCCCAGAUCAGCUCCAGAAGCUGGUCAUCGCUGGCACCUUCCCCUGGAUGCCCAUUUUCUCCAGAAUAGUCUUAACAAACAUGUAAGAAAAAGAAACAGGAAGAGAAAAGAGGACAACGGGUUAUUCCUUUCAUGUUUUCGCAGAAAAAAUAAACUCAAACGAGUUUUUAAACUAUGAGAUGUUAUUGUACCUCCAUGCCACAGCCGCCGAAUACUUUGCUCCGGUGAUCAUGUGGUCCAUCUCCACCCUAAGCUUAAUAAAUUCCCUGGUUUUCUCUUUUGUUCCUAAAAUACAAACUCCUAUUAAAAUCAGAGGGAAAACGUAGCGGGAGAAGUACGACACCGAGCUCGGCUGAACAUACGAGCCGAGACCGCAAUACAAGCACUUUUACUGUAACAUUUCUAACUAAAAUAACGUUCAUGUAUCACAAAAAGUCCUUGACCUAACAGUUUUCAAGUUUAUACUGACAUUUAUAUGCGCAAUCCUCUCCGACAGCUCCCGCUUCACUGUCCGCCAUUGUUUUUAAGUUUUUCUGCCGGCCAGCCUGCAAGGCAUCUUGGGAAAUGCUACCUAUUGAAGGAUACACCCGACCCAUCCUUCAUUCAGGCGAAAAGAAGGCCGCAUUCGUCGACCGCAUUUGAAGGAGUCUUCGAAUUGGGACAGGCCUAGUCGCGGCGCUGUGACGUAACCGGCCGACGAAUCCGGCCGACGUAGGAUGCAGACCCUGAAUUGAGACACAGCCAUGGAGUGGGCGGAGGAGGAGGCCUAUAUGCCUCAAGUGGCAUAUAUUUGCCACAUGAGGAUAUGUAAAAGCAUGUCAAUUUGACAUCUAUAAACAGAUGAAAAAAUAUAUCGCAAUGUAUAUCGUUACUGCACAUGCUUCAGAUUAUAUCGCAAUAUAGAUUUGAGGCCAUAUAGCCCAGCCCUAUUCUUAUCUACACUCUUUUUUUAAACUCCAAAGUCUAAAAACAAUAUAUUAAUUCUACUUUUAUUUAUUGUUUUCAUAACAGAAUAGAACUGUUACGAAAACUUUGUCAGGCUGACAAAGUUUGCAGCCGCAAACAAAACGUUGCAGGUAAAUAAAACCCUUCUAUGUUUUAAAAAGAACUAAAAGAUGGAAUUGUUGUUUUAUCCUUGUUCACAGGCUGGGAUCCUAAAGGGAAUUUCCAUCCUACUUGUGUGGCUGAAUGACAUCUUCAACCAAUUUUGGUACAUUUGCCAGAAAGCACAACAUCGUGAUAUGUUUAAUGACAUGUGGGUGGGUGUGCUUCACCAUGUCACAGGGAAGAAUGAAUGGACCCGUGGCAAAUGUGACCAUGGACCACUUGAUGCAACGUGGCAUGGUGCCAGGAUCUCCACCACACGAGGCUUUUCAACGAAUCAUGUUCAACAGACGCUGGUUGAAGGAUGUCACCAAUCUGAC